rnacentral:misc_RNA from 1 species
GAUGAAGAACGUAGCGAAAUGCGAUAAGUAAUGCGAAUUGCAGAAUUCAGUGAAUCAUCGAAUCUUUGAACGCACAUUGCGCCCGCCAGUAUUCUGGCGGGCAUGCCUGUCUGAGCGUCGUUUCGACCCUCGCGCCCGGCUUCUGUCGGGGGCGGUGUUGGGGAUCGGCCACACCCUUCAGUGGGAGGCCGGCCCCUAAAUUCAGUGGCGACCACGCUGUAGCCUCCCCUGCGUAGUACUAAAACCACCUCGCAGGCGGAGAGCGGUGCGGCCCGCCGUAAAACCCCCCAACUGUUACAAGGUCGACCUCAGAUCAGGUAGGAAUACCCGCUGAACUUAAGCAUAUCAAUAAGCGGAGGA